rnacentral:rRNA from 1 species
GGACUACUAGGGUUUCUAAUCCCGUUUGCUCCCCUGGCUUUCGCGCCUCAGCGUCAGCAAGGGUCCAGUGCGCCGCUUUCGCCGCCGGCGUUCCUUCUGAUAUCAACGCAUUUCACCGCUCCACCAGAAGUUCCGCGCACCCCUACCCUCCUCCAGCCCGCCGGUAUCGGAGGCCCUGCCGCGGUUGAGCCGCGGUCUUUCACCCCCGACCUCGCGAGCCGCCUACGCGCCCUUUAAGCCCAGUGAUUCCGAACAACGUUCGCACGGUUCGUCUUACCGCGGCUGCUGGCAC